rnacentral:rRNA from 1 species
ACCGGGGGCGACAGCAAUAUGAAGGUCAGGCUGAAGACCUUACCCGAUUAGCUGAGAGGUGGUGCAUGGCCGUCGUCAGUUCGUACUGUGAAGCAUCCUGUUAAGUCAGGCAACGAGCGAGACCCACGUCCACAGUUGCCAGCAUACCCCUCCGGGGUGAUGGGUACACUGUGGAGACCGCCGCUGCUAAAGCGGAGGAAGGAGUGGGCAACGGUAGGUCAGUAUGCCCCGAAUCUCCCGGGCUACACGCGGGCUACAAUGGUUGGUACAAUGGGCAUCUACCCCGAAAGGGGGAAGGAAAUCUCUUAAAGCCAAUCGUAGUUCGGAUUGAGGGCUGCAACUCGCCCUCAUGAAGCUGGAAUCCGUAGUAAUCGCGUUUCAACAGAACGCGGUGAAUACGUCCCUGCUCCUU